CCACUUGAAACAACUUAAACGUGUCUGUUGUUUCUGCAAUUUUUGCUUCAAAUUCACAUUUAUGCUCAUUCCUCAUUCAAGAGUUAUCAAAUAUGCAUGUUACAAAAAAGUGUUUUGCAAACUCUCACACAUAUAACAACUACUAAAUAAAACUUGCCUUUUUAAUUAUUAUACAUUCAUUUAUUUUAAUCUCCUACGCCAAAAUCAUAUUUUCAUUAGGUACAUUUUCCUUUUGUGAUAUUCUAAUUUUUCUUAUUUUUUGUCGAAAGAUGAAAUUCUUAAUAUAAUAGUUAGUUGUGCUUGCCAUAAUAAAUUGGGCCCC
rnacentral:lncRNA from 1 species